CCUACGGGAGGCAGCAGUGAGGAAUUUUCUGCAAUGGGCGAAAGCCUGACAGAGCAAUACCGCGUGAGGGAUGAAGGCCUACGGGUUGUAAGCCUCUUUUCUCAAGGAGGAAGUUUGACGUUACUUGAGGAAUAAGCAUCGGCUAACCCUGUGCCAGCAGCCGCGGUAAUACAGGGGAUGCAAGUGUUAUCCGGAAUUAUUGGGCGUAAAGCGUCUGCAGGUGGAUAAGUAAGUCUUUUGUUAAAUUUUCAGGCUUAACCUGAAACUCGCAAAGGAAACUACUUAUCUUGAGUAUGGUAGAGGUAAAGGGAAUUUCCAGUGGAGCGGUGAAAUGCGUAGAUAUUGGAAAGAACACCAACAGCGAAGGCACUUUACUGGGCCAUUACUGACACUCAGAGACGAAAGCUAGGGGAGCAAACGGGAUUAGAUACCCCGGUAGUCCUAGCUGUAAACGAUGGAUACUAGAUGUUGUGUACCUUUUAGGUUAUACAGUGUCGUAGCUAACGCGUUAAGUAUCCCGCCUGGGAAGUAUGCUCGCAAGAGUGAAACUCAAAGGAAUUGACGG
rnacentral:rRNA from 1 species